GUAAACAAGUUUCGACAAAGUAGAAUUAUUAUUAAUGAAUGAAAUAUUAAUGAAUGAAAUAUUAAGACAUUUUUUAAGGUGACCGUGGUAAACAAAUUUUAGCAAAGUAGGACUAUUAUUGAUAAAUACAUAUAUUUUUAAGGUGACCGUGGUGAACAAAUUUUGACAAAGUAUUAUAAUUAAUGAAUUAAAUAUUAAGACAUUUUUGAAGGUGACUGUGGUGAACAAAUUUCGACAAAGGAUUAUUAUAAAUGAAUGGAAAAAGUAGACGUUUUUAAAGGUGACCGUGGUAAACACAUUUUGACAAAGUAGAAUAAUUAUUAAUUAAUUAAAUAUUAAUGAAUGAAAUAUUAAGACAUUUUUUAAGGUGACUGUGGUAAAUAAAUUUCGACAAAGCUGGAAUAUUAAUGAAUAAAAUAAUCAGGCAUUUUUGAAGAUGACUGCGAUGAACAAAUUUCAGCUUAGUAGAAUUAUUAUAAUGAAUCACAUUUUUAUUAUAUAUUUUUUAACACAAUUAGAGCCCUCUUAACAUGAAAUAACAUCCAUAUUAGUCACUUCUACAUUCAUAAACAUUCUACUGUAGAUCACAGUACUCCUAUGGUAUUCACCCGGCCACUACAACACAACCACAGCGUGGAAAUGGGUCAUUCUUCCGAGUUAGAACGGAGUUAGUUAGUUGUUUUGCUAAAAAGUAAGUCCAUCCAUCCAUCCAUUUUCUACUGCUUGUCCUCUCUCGGGGUUGUAGCUGACUAUUAGCUGUGUUGUUGCAUUGCGUGUCACACGGCUCACUAAUGUCCACGACAAAGUGCGCAUUGCCCAGACAGCUUCUUCGCCUUGGCACGUCUCGUCCGAAGAAUAUCGCUCAGGUGAUGUGCUAUUGAUGAGGCAGGAGUUGAAGAUGAAUCAAAAAGAUUAGCCGCCGUGUUGUUAGCAUUGUUCACCCCGCUCGGUGAAUAUCUUAAUGGAUGGGACUGUAAUACAUAAAUACUACUUCAUUUGGGCCAAAAACAUGCGUUACGUAGCGAGGGAUGACUGUACAGUAACCAGUAGCGAGUCCAAAAGAGUGAACGGGUCUUUUCCUAAAUGUCAAACCGGACGUAAAAGACAAGAGAAUGAAUUUGAUUUGCUCCCUUCUUCUAUUCAGGCAAGCCCCGCCUCCCGAGCCUUAUGCAACGUUCCAAAAAAAAAAGAAAGAAGUAAGAUGCAUACUUGUGAAGAAAAGUGCCAUUUGAAUAUUGAUCAGGUAUUCCAGGUCCCGGAUCUCGUGGACCAGAUUCUGUACGCAUCAUUUGGAAAAAUGUCAGUAUUAAUUUUCUUGUUGACUUCCCGCCUGGACGUUACUAACGUUCAGCAGGUGCAGUAUUAACCCCCCGUUUAGUCAUAGAGAACUUUUAUAUUUAUGUCUUUUUUUUUUUACAUUUCUUUAUGCUUUAUUUAUUUCACUACGUAGUGUACAAGACUGUAGUUUGUAUUAAUACGAUAAUAUAUUUUAGUCUGGGGGGGAAUUUUUUGUUUUGUUCAAGCGUGGCAAUUUGGAACGUGUUUUUGCACCUGUUUGCUUUUUUCUCCCCGCUAAAACCAAGCUACUGAACGUGUUCUUGUAUGUUGUUAGCAUGAGUGUUGUAUUGAAGGAUUUAACCACCCAAAGACUCAAUAAUAUUCUUCCAAUUCUUUCUUUCCUAGACCCACUUUUAUAUGUUUUAACAGCCUUCUCUUCUUUUUAUGACUCCCCGUCUCACAAUAAAAUACACCAAAUGCA